UACGUAGGGGGCAAGCGUUGUCCGGAUUUAUUGGGCGUAAAGAGCGUGUAGGCGGCCAGACAGGUCCGUUGUGAAAACUCGAGGCUCAACCUCGAGACGUCGACGGAAACCGUCUGGCUAGAGUCCGGAAGAGGAGUGUGGAAUUCCUGGUGUAGCAGUGAAAUGCGUAGAUAUCAGGAGGAAUACCGAUGGCGAAGGCAGGUCUCUGGGCUAUAACUGACGCUCAUGCACGAAAGCGGUA
rnacentral:rRNA from 1 species